ensembl:lncRNA
AUGUGGUUAUCUGUUCUGUAGCUGCCCAGACAGGGGCGGGUGGAUGAAGCAGAAAAAUAACUGGUUGGUGAUGUUAUUUUAAGGCAGAGCUGAUACCAACAAGGGGCUUUAGAGAACACAUAUCUGUGAGGAUGAAGACUUUGAGUGCUGCUCUUGUUUUGCUGAGUCUCAUCUCAGUGGGCCAGCCUGCAUCGCUGGCCUGUGAGAAGCUGUUAAAGCCAGUCGACCAACGUCCAGAUCUGAUUGGGAGGUGGCACUUUAUAGCUGUGUCCACAGAGUUUUGCCUGUCUUCAACAUUAGUCAGUGCUUUAUUUUCCCCAAGUGCCGCAGUGGAUGUAAUUUCUAAGGGCGAACCAAACCUCUAUGGUGAUACUACUUAUUUGAAAGCGAAUGGAGUUUGUAUCAAUGGAACCUCAAGAUUUCUCUAUGCAAACAGCAGCAUAUUUGAACUCGACAGUGAAAGUAGACGAACAGCUGUUUCUGCUGCUGAGCUGACGGAGUUUGAGACACAGGCAGAGUGUCUGGGAUGGUCUAAACCCCAACUCCUCAACACUGAUCAUGAUUAUGAAAAGUGUGUGCAAUUUGACGAAGAUAUGGAUGAGGAUAAAUUAAGCGAAGUGCUUCUGAGUUUCUUUCAGAAGACGCUUGAAAGGAUGAAAACCACAUAUCACUUGUUAACCAAAUGCAUGGCAGAGGGUUUUAUUUCAUAUUACCCCUCAUUGUUUUAAGAACUAAAUGUCCAGUGCAUGCUGAACUUUAUUUUCAUAUCUAAAUAUGACUUUUAAUCUAUAUAUGAAUGCCUCUUUUAAUUACUGAAUUGAGCUUUUUUUUCUUCAUUUAGAAGAAAAAGUUUUUUAAAUAAAAGUCUGUACGUCCAUGUAUGUUAAAAAUUUCUUUGCAAUUUAUGUGUGAGGCCAUAGCCAUGCUAGCAGUUCUAUGAGGCUCCAUAUAGACAUCAGUGUUUCGAACCAUGUAAUACAAAUAACAAACAACUAAAUAUCAAUGAUAGGAUAAUAGUGCAAACCAGGUAUUAUGUUUACCAUGAUAAUUUGUGGUGUAACUGUUAAAAAACAAUCACAGAUUGGUUUGUAACCUAUUUUGGAACCACAUUUGAUGCAUUUAUUUUAGGUUCUAAAUUUCUUUUCUUAGUUUUGUCUUAUUUUAAGUUUCAUAUAGCCAGAAAUUGGUGCUUUUAGCUCUUAAAAGACUCCUUGGCUCCAACAUUUGAACAGAAAUGAUGGCUUAUUGUAACUGUUGUUGUAAAAUCAAAAGUAAAAGGAUAAAAACAGAUAUUAUUGUUUUUAUAUUUUCCACAAAUUCUUAACAGUAAGUUGCUUUUCUUUGCUUUUACAUUUCAAUAAAUAUUUCUCAAAUCCUUAUGAGCUAUAUGGAUUGUCAUUUAGAACACCAAGAAUUUUGGUUUAUUAUCUUUAUGUUUGUUGUGAUUUUUGCAGAGCUGCAAAGGUUUAGGAAAGUAACUUUGAGGUUUGAAUAGAAAAUGUGCAUAAAUUGUGCCGUGCAUUUAUGAGAAACCCAUGAAUCCAUUCUCUUCCACUGGGCUGGAGGUUAUCUCUGAUUUAAAAAAAAUAUUUUUAUAGUUAUUUUUGUUUGUGAAAUAAUGGCAUCAUGGUCACAUUCGCUAUGGCCAUCUGCACUAUUCUUUUCUUUUCUUGUUACAAAAGAUGACCCAGUUUUCCUGCAG